UAUAAGAGAUUUUGAGUUUUUACUUGCAUUGUUUGACCACCCGUCUUAUUCAAAAAUUUUUUGGAAUUAUUAUUAUUAUUUUUGACUUACUUUAUUACCCAAAGUACUUUAAGCACAAUUUUUCGUUUUUUAUAUUUGCACAAAUUUUUUGAAUAAGACGAGUGGUCAAACAAUGCAAACAAAAAAUCAAAAUCCCUUAUA
rfam:Oryza sativa (indica cultivar-group) chromosome 10, whole genome shotgun sequence.